UUAGGGUUCCGCCAUAUCAGCGACGGUUUGAGAUGUCGCCUUACGAAGGGUAAUGGUUGUGAGCUCCUGAAAUGAAUCGACAUCUACAUGUCUCAGAUCUGGUCAGAUCAUCAAUCUCUAAGACCAAUCCGACGAUUAGAUAUAUUUUUGUACAUUAGAAUGAGGAUAUAAUGUUGUGAUACGUACACCAACAGGUGAUAUGUCACAAGUGGGCAGAAGUUCUAUUUGCAGAUGCUUUUUCAUCAUUUUUGAGGAUGCUGGGUUAAAUGCUGAUAAG